UGAGGAACAUGACCUUCGGCGGGGGAUAGCCGGCCCAACGGCCGGGUAAUACCGCGUACGACCACAUGGGGACAUCCCUGAGUGGUGAAAGCAGCAAUGCGCCGAUGGAGUGCCUCGCGGCCUAUCAGCUAGUUGGUGAGGUAACGGCUCACCAAGGCGACGACGGGUAGCUGGUCUGAGAGGAUGGCCAGCCACAGUUGGGACUGAGACACGGCCCAGACCUNUACGGGAG
rnacentral:rRNA from 1 species